UCUAAUAUGCACCAGUCAUUCAAUGUUUUUCCGCAUUUCGAGCGCUAAUUUCAAGAGAUCAACAAUACUAUUUUGUGUUCGCUUUUGUGAGCUUAAAUGGGUGAAAUUACAAAUCCAAACGAAAACUUACGCAUUCCCAAGUGGAUAAGUGCAGACUAUUUUGAAAAAGUGUUGGAGAAAGAUGGAGAGGACUAUGCAGAGAUCUCUAAGUUUACAGCGGUUGCAGCCACACCCCCAGGUGAGAACUUCACUUCCGUUAUGUUGCGCAUACACCUGGAUUUAGUUUUGAAAGAUGGGUCGAAAAAGCACAAAACGUACGUAAUGAAAACAAUGCUGGAUGACGAUUGCGGUGGCCGCGAAAUUAAGAAUUUGGAAAUGUUUCCCAAAGAAUUGGAAAUGUACGCCAAGUUCUUGCCUGCUUUCGAGAAACUGUACAAAGAUGCCGGCAAGCCAGUGAAACUCGCUCCUCGUUGCUUACUCGCAGAAGCCAGAGAUAAUCGGAUUAAUUUCGUAUUCGAGGACUUGAUCCCCAAGGGUUUCGUAAACGCUGAUCGCAAGAAGGGCUUGAAUAUGGAUGGGAUGCGUCGUACGUUACAAAAGCUGGCGGAGUUUCAUGCUGCAUCAGCGGUAUAUGCCGAAAAGAAUGGACCCUACCCCGAAAACUUCAAAUUCAGCAUCGUUAAAAAAAAUGGUUACGAAUCGUUCAAGCAAAUUUUCGACGCGAAAGUUCUUCAAUUCAAAGAAGCAAUGACAACGUGGGGCUUGAAAGAUGCUGACAAAUAUUUGGAAAAAUUUCCUACCGUUGAUCAGUAUUGGAAGUCUGUAAUGCGUGGGUUCGCUACCGCAGAGAACUCGUUCAACGUGCUGAAUCACGCCGACUGCUGGAGCAGUAAUGUGUUGUACUCGUAUCGAGAAAAUGGCACAGUUAACGAUGCACUUCUGAUCGAUUAUCAAAUUUGUAAAUGGGGUAGUCCUGCUGAGGAUUUGCUAUUUCUCAUAACGAUUUCGGCGGCGAAAGAUAUUCGCAUAAGGGAAUACGAGCAUUUUGUGGCCAUUUAUCAUGAACAUCUUACGGAAUGCCUCCAAUUGCUGGGUUACAAAAAGGAUCUGCCGAAAUUGCGAGACUUGCAAAUGGAUAUGUACCGCGAGAAUAACAGUUUCUAUGCAUUUUUUGCAGUGUUCAAUCUCUUGGCGGUCGUAUUAUUCCCCACCGAUAAAGACAGUAACAUUAAUUCGCUUCUGAGCCCGAGUGAGCAGGCUCAGCGUUUUAGGCUGAAAAUGUACACAAGUCCGGCAUUCAAGGAGGCUAUGUUGGACAUCCUGCCAUUUUAUUACAACCGUGGACUAUUCAAUUUCUGUGAUUACGAUAAUGAGUCAAAUAUGGCUUCGUAGGCAUUUUUAUGAAUCAAAUGAUUAGCGCAGAAUAUUUAUAUGGAAAAUUAGAGAUCACUACAAGGGUUGGAAUCAUGUCAACUAUGGAGCACCGUUUUUUAUGUAGCCCCCA